rnacentral:lncRNA from 1 species
AUCCAAUAUGGCGGACGAUAAAGACAGGAACAAUUCAAACGAUAAAAGAGAAAUUAGUGGGUCGUUCAUCAGAGGUUUUGCUGCUGGUGUAAUUCUAUCGCAUAUCAAUAAAAAUUUAAUCCUAGGACUACUUAUUGGAACCUUGGCUGGAUGCUAUGUGCAACAAAAUUACACUGGAAUUCCUGAUGUUUCUGAGACUGCGACUGAAUGGGUGAAUACUCUUAAAGAGUCCAUAAAGAAGAAGUCAAAAUGAUUGGAAUAUUGUGUACUUGAGUAAUGGCAAAAGAUUGAUGGGUUUCAAAGUUACAAAUCAAGGGGUUUUAAUGAAAAUCAGAAAAUGAUUGUGGGAUCCAGUUUGGCAUUUCAAAGUACUAGCUAUUUAUAAUACCUACAGGUCACAAAGUCAAAGGGAAACUUCAGUUACAUACAUACAUACAUACGAACAAACAAACAUUAUUUAAGCAUGAUAGGCUCAUCUGUAAAAGCUGGUUUUAUGAUGGGCAUGGUCAGACAAUACAUACUCACAUACUGUACAUAUACAUAAACAGAUAAACUAUAUACUGUCAUAUAUAUGGGACGUAAUAAAAAAAUGUUAGUAAAAGUGUAAAACUGCUGUUCAUUUAACAGCUGACAUUUCAUAUUAGUAAGCUUGGGUGGUUUUGACUAAAAAAAAGUCAAUACUGGUUAAACUGUAAACUGUUUUUUAAUGAUUUCAGGGAUUUAAUAAUGCAUUCCAGUAUUGAAUAAUGGUCAAUGUCUCACCAACGAAAUGCAAUUUUUAAUAUAAUAUUAAGGUAAUAUGAAUGGUG